rnacentral:tRNA from 1 species
GUUUUAAUAAUUUAAUUUAUAAAAUAUUGGUUUUGUAAACCAAUUAUAAGAUAUUACAUCUUUUAAAACU